GAUGAACGCUGGCGGCGUGCCUAAUACAUGCAAGUCGAGCGAACGGACGAGAAGCUUGCUUUUCUGAUGUUAGCGGCGGACGGGUGAGUAACACGUGGAUAACCUACCUAUAAGACUGGGAUAACUUCGGGAAACCGGAGCUAAUACCGGAUAAUAUUUUGAACCGCAUGGUUCAAAAGUGAAAGACGGUCUUGCUGUCACUUAUAGAUGGAUCCGCGCUGCAUUAGCUAGUUGGUAAGGUAACGGCUUACCAAGGCAACGAUGCAUAGCCGACCUGAGAGGGUGAUCGGCCACACGGGAACUGAGACACGGUCCAGACUCCUACGGGAAGCAGCAGUAGGGAAUCUUCCGCAAUGGGCGAGAGCCUGACGGAGCAACGCCGCGUGAGUGAUGAUGGUCUUCGGAUCGUAAAACUCUGUUAUUAGGGGAGAACAUAUGUGUAAGUAACUGUGCACAUCUUGACGGUACCUAAUCAGAAAGCCACGGCUAACUACGUG
rnacentral:rRNA from 1 species